AGAGCGAACGCUGGCGGCAGGCCUAACACAUGCAAGUCGAGCGCCCCGCAAGGGGAGCGGCAGACGGGAGAGUAACACGUGGGAACGUACCCUUUGGUUCGGAACAACACAGGGAAACUUGUGCUAAUACCGGAUAAGCCCUUACGGGGAAAGAUUUAUCGCCAAAGGAUCGGCCCGCGUCUGAUUAGCUAGUUGGUGGGGUAACGGCUCACCAAGGCUACGAUCAGUAGCUGGUCUGAGAGGAUGAUCAGCCUCACUGGGACUGAGACACGGCCCAGACUCCUACGGGAGGCAGCAGUGGGGAAUAUUGGACAAUGGGCGCAAGCCUGAUCCAGCCAUGCCGCGUGGGUGAUGAAGGCCCUAGGGUUGUAAAGCCCUUUCGGCGGGGAAGAUAAUGACGGUACCGCAGAAGAAGCCCCGGCUAACUUCGUGCCAGCAGCCGC
rnacentral:rRNA from 1 species